GAGUUCAUGCCCUUCGGGGUAGAUCUCCCACCCUUGUGUAUCAUUAUAGAAUGUUGCUUUGGCGGGCCGCGCCUCGUGCGCCUAGAUUCGCGUCUAGCGUGCCCGCCAGAGGACCCCUAAACUCUGAAUGUUAGUGUCGUCUGAGUACUAUUAAAUAGUUAAAACUUUCAACAACGGAUCUCUUGGUUCU
rnacentral:misc_RNA from 1 species